UACGGAGGAUGCGAGCGUUAUCCGGAUUUAUUGGGUUUAAAGGGUGCGUAGGCGGUUCGUUAAGUCAGCGGUAAAAUUGCGGGGCUCAACCCCGUCGAGCCGUUGAAACUGGCAGACUUGAGUUGGCGAGAAGUACGCGGAAUGCGCGGUGUAGCGGUGAAAUGCAUAGAUAUCGCGCAGAACUCCGAUUGCGAAGGCAGCGUACCGGCGCCAGACUGACGCUGAGGCUCGAAAGCGUGGGGAUCGAACAGG
rnacentral:rRNA from 1 species